rnacentral:lncRNA from 1 species
AGAUGUCUGUUUGUUGUGGUUGUUGGUAAAAUUUUGUGAUCUUAUCUUAAUCCUAUUUGUGAUGCUUAUUUAAAUCAGAAUGCCACCUAACUGAGCUGGUAGCCAAGUGUGAAUAAGUUAGUUGGGAGUUCUCUUGGUGGAUAUUCAAGGUUAUGAUUAAUUGGAUUUUGACCAAAAUUAAGUGCAGGAGGAUUGACGAUGGAAUAUUAUUGUGCUAUAUAAUUAUUUGUUUAUUAGUUAAUUUAAUGGUUUAUUUUAAUAUGGGGGUAGCAGGAGGAUU